UACGGGGGGGGCAAGCGUUGUUCGGAAUUACUGGGCGUAAAGGGUGCGUAGGUGGCGCUGUAAGUGGGGUGUGAAAUCCCGGGGCUUAACCCCGGGACUGCAUUCCAUACUGCGGUGCUUGAGGACUGGAGAGGAGACUGGAAUUUACGGUGUAGCAGUGAAAUGCGUAGAGAUCGUAAGGAAGACCAGUGGCGAAGGCGGGUCUCUGGACAGUUCCUGACACUGAGGCACGAAGGCCAGGGGAGCAAACGGG
rnacentral:rRNA from 1 species